CCAACAUGGAUACGCCGGGAGGUCAGUCUCUCUGGGCUCUGUCCAGGUGGCAUAGGGGAGCAGGGCUCUGCCCCGUGAUGUACAGUCCUUUUCCACAACGUUGGAGAAGAAGCUGGGCCUUGUGUCCACGCCUGCAUUCCUACAACUUCUCAGAGUCCUUUGGGCAGUGACUGAGGAGAUAAACCAUGCAGGAAACAAUG
rnacentral:snoRNA from 1 species